rnacentral:rRNA from 1 species
UACGAAGGGGGCUAGCGUUGCUCGCAAUCACUGGGCGUAAAGCGCACGUAGGCGGAUUGUUAAGUCAGGGGUGAAAUCCUGGAGCUCAACUCCAGAACUGCCUUUGAUACUGGAGAGCUUGAGUCCGGGAGAGGUGAGUGGAACUCCGAGUGUAGAGGUGAAAUUCGUAGAUAUUCGGAAGAACACCAGUGGCGAAGGCGGCUCACUGGCCCGGUACUGACGCUGAGGUGCGAAAGCGUGGGGAGCAAACAGG